CUCUGUGCAGUUGGAGCUGAGGAAGGGGUUUCAGGUCUCUGUGUCUCUGACAGGAAGUCACACUCUUUUCCCUGGAGGCUUUUGCUGGUCACAUACCAAGAAGAGAAACUGAACUUUUGAACUUAAGUCUCUGGCUCUCUGGCUCUGAGCAGCUGGAGCUGAGGAGGGGGCUCGUGGUCUCUGUGUCUGAAACUGGAAGUCAUUCUUUUCCCUGGAGGCUUUUGGCUGGCCACACUUCGAAACUGGGCUUUUGGGACUUAGUCUCUGGCUCUCUGGUUCUGAGCAGUUGGAGUUGACCAGGGGGCUUUUUGGUCUCUGGGUCUCUGACUGGGGGACACACACUUGCUCUCAGGAGGUUGAAAGCUGGCUGAGAGACUUUUGUGAGGCUGACUUGACUUUUGGACUUUGUCUCUGGCUCUGAGCAGUGGAAGAUGAUCAGGGGAGAAGCUUUUGAGUAGGUGGUCUAUAUGAGAGUUGAGCUGGCCAAGAGGAAACUUAGAGACUUUGAAUUUUGUUUCUAUCUGAGGUUAAGCUGAGAGAUCUGGCUGAUUUGUGAAGAAGAAGAAAGAAGAUUUUGAACUGCUAUUGUCCUCCAUCUUUUCAACUAAGAGUCACAGUUUACUUGGCAGGAAUGUGCUGUCACAUAACAGCAACUGAACAGAUUACCUCAUAAGCAGAUUUUAUGGAGAGAAAUGUUUUCUGCCAUAACAAGUCCCAUUCAAGAGCACCCAUCUCUUAGGUGGUAUUCCUUCCCUGACCUCAAUCCUGACAGGAGUAAUCGACUUGAUCCGACCACAUCAUUUUGAUAUUUUGCAAACACCCAUCUGUUGAUGAUUAAUGAGUUAAACAAGAUGAACUCUGAGGGUCCUGAUGGCAAGAACAGUCUAUGAAUUAAGGAGCUCCACUACUACUUCUGACCAAAAAACUCCUAUUAAUAAAUUAGAAUAAGACAAAUCACCCAUUAUG